ensembl:lincRNA Gm28639 predicted gene 28639
AGAUAAUCCCAGAAAAACAAAGCUUACACAUGAAAAGGAAAUUCAUAGGUAAAGUGCAUGGGCACCAUGAUUUUGAUUUUCAUUCAUGUGUUGGAUUAUUUCUCUCACCUGAACUAUUAACUCUGGAAUUGAUAAUCCACCGACACAAGGGAAGGGAAAGAAAAUUCUUCUGUGUAAGGCGGAGAUUGAGUUAUCUCAACUAGAUUCAAUAGUGCAAAGCAAAGAGGUUUAGUUUUGAACAUUUGGUUAGUCUCCUUUCCAUCUACCCAAUGUCUAGACAGUCAAAUGAUGAGGGGUGGGGCAGAACUCGUCCCCAACCACUCUUACUAAAGAUGUCUUCAUGUGCAAUGUCACUGGUUAUGCGAGUUUGUUUGUAUUAUCUUUGAACUUAAUGUAUAUUACUCUGCCUUUGUCAACAUCCGCUCCUUUCUCCUUUAAGCCUUAAAACUAUUCCAGAUGCUGUGCAGAUGUAAAGCCUUUG